rnacentral:rRNA from 1 species
AUGACCCAGCCCGCCUCGGUCUGGCUCUGGCCCCCAAUCAAAAACCAUCGUCAUAAAAAGCCCCUUUUAACCCGAAGACGGCCUCCUCCGUCGAAGUCAGCCAUGGCGCCGCCGCAGCACGACCCCCGCCGCCCCUACAAGCGCCCCGCCAUCUCCGACCAGCAGCGCCGCCGCGACUCCGCCCUCCAGACCCAGUCCGCCCGCCGCGCCGACGCCCAGGCGCGCGCGCGCAGCCUCGCCAACUCCCUCCUGUCUCCCCAACCCUCCUCCCCCGCCGCCGCCGACCAACCCCCGCCCUCCCCCGACGCCCGAGACGAACGCGGCCAUGAUCCCACCGUCGCCGACGUCGCCUCGGCCGCAGCCAAGCUCCGCGGCCCCGACCAGCGCCGCUGGUUCGCCCGCCAGAUCAUGCUCCCCGAGUGGAUGGUCGACGCCCCUCCCCGCCUCGCCCGCGACUGGCAUGUUUCUGCCAGACCUGCUGGCAAACGAUGCAUGGUCGUGUCGUCGAACGGCAUCACGAUUAGCAGGCUCCGUAACGGAACCAUUCUUCACCGCUUCCCCUCCGCCUUGCCCAACGGGUCCAAGAAAGGACUCUCUGGCCCUGCAAGCUCCUACUCUAUCCUCGACUGCAUAUUCCAUGAGCCUGAUGAGACCUACUACAUCGUUGAUAUGAUUUGUUGGCGAGGCUAUUCGCUGUAUGAUUGCACUGCCGAGUUCAGGUUUUUUUGGGUGAACUCCAAGCUUACAGAGACUUCUGCUGGUGAUCCUCCAUCGACAUACCAUCGUUAUAGAUUCAGUGUUGUCCCUAUGUAUGAAUCCACGCUUGAAGGCCUUCAAGCAGCAUAUUCGGGAAGCACACCUUAUGUCAAAGAUGGCUUGCUGUUCUAUAACAAGCAUGCACAUUUUCAAGCUGGAAUCACACCCCUUACAUUAGUAUGGAAAGACAAUACCUGCAGCCAAUACCUUAUUGAUACGGAUAGCGAGGGACAAGUUCCAACUGAGCAACAUGUUGUGUUGGAGCUGCAAGAGGAUGGAAAGCUAGUUACUUCUGAUGAUCCUCCAAUUGCAUUUGGUAGCUUGGACAACGAAUUUAUCCAGAAGUCAAACCUGCGGCCAGGGAACCUUCUCCGCUUCAGUGUAAGAGAUGAAAGUGUGAAACUUGUGGAUGGGAAGAUGGAGAUUGGUCAGCUGCAACUUGCGGGAAAGCUGAACCGUUCUCGUACUUUUGCUGACAGCCACUCCAAAGUUUUGUUCCAGUAUGCUGCCAGGCAUGCUCCUCUGAGAAUUGAGGAUCUGGUAGCCGCUGUUCAAUCAAACAGUAUGGAGAUUGAAUCCACAGAUGUUGAAAUGCAAGGUUGA